UUUGUCCUACGGGAGGCAGCAGUGGGGAAUAUUGCACAAUGGGGGGAACCCUGAUGCAGCGACGCCGCGUGAGUGAAGAAGUAUUUCGGUAUGUAAAGCUCUAUCAGCAGGGAAGAUAAUGACGGUACCUGACUAAGAAGCCCCGGCUAACUACGUGCCAGCAGCCGCGGUAAUACGUAGGGGGCAAGCGUUAUCCGGAUUUACUGGGUGUAAGGGGAGCGUAGACGGAGGAGCAAGUCUGAUGUGAAAAUCCGGGGCCCAACCCCGGAACUGCAUUGGAAACUGUUUAUCUAGAUGGUCGGAGG
rnacentral:rRNA from 1 species